rnacentral:rRNA from 1 species
CUAAUACAUGCAGUCGAGCGGAUGUGAGGAACUUGCUCCUCGAUGUUAGCGGCGGACGGGUGAGUAACACGUGGGCAACCUGCCUGUAAGACUGGGAUAACUUCGGGAAACCGGAGCUAAUACCGGAUAAUGCUUUUGAACUCAUGUUCGAAAGCUGAAAGAUGGUUUCGGCUAUCACUUACAGAUGGGCCCGCGGCGCAUUAGCUAGUUGGUGAGGUAACGGCUCACCAAGGCAACGAUGCGUAGCCGACCUGAAAGGGUGAUCGGCCACACUGGGACUGAGACACGGCCCAGACUCCUACGGGAGGCAGCAGUAGGGAAUCUUCCGCAAUGGACGAAAGUCUGACGGAGCAACGCCGCGUGAGUGAUGAAGGUUUUCGGAUCGUAAAACUCUGUUGUUAGGGAAGAACAAGUACCGGAGUAACUGCCGGUACCUUGACGGUACCUAACCAGAAAGCCACGGCUAACUACGUGCCAGCAGCCGCGGUAAUACGUAUGUGGCAAGCGUUGUCCGGAAUUAUUGGGCGUAAAGCGCGCGCAGGCGGUUCCUUAAGUCUGAUGUGAAAGCCCACGGCUCAACCGUGGAGGGUCAUUGGAAACUGGGGAACUUGAGUGCAGAAGAAAAGAGC